rnacentral:rRNA from 1 species
GACGAACGCUGGCGGCGUGCUUAACACAUGCAAGUCGAGCGGUAAGGCCCUUUCGGGGGUACACGAGCGGCGAACGGGUGAGUAACACGUGGGUGACCUGCCCUCAGCUCUGGGAUAAGCCUGGGAAACCGGGUCUAAUACUGGAUAUGACUCCACGGUGCAUGUCGUGGGGUGGAAAGCCUUGUGCGGCUGAGGAUGGGCCCGCGGCCUAUCAGCUUGUUGGUGGGGUGAUGGCCUACCAAGGCGACGACGGGUAGCCGGCCUGAGAGGGCGACCGGCCACACUGGGACUGAGACACGGCCCAGACUCCUACGGGAGGCAGCAGUGGGGAAUCUUGCGCAAUGGGCGAAAGCCUGACGCAGCGACGCCGCGUGAGGGAUGACGGCCU